rnacentral:misc_RNA from 1 species
GAUGAAGAACGUAGCGAAAUGCGAUAAGUAAUGCGAAUUGCAGAAUUCCGUGAGUCAUCGAAUCUUUGAACGCACAUUGCGCCCUCUGGUAUUCCGGAGGGCAUGCCUGUCUGAGCGUCAUUGUCAACCCUCAAGCUCAGCUUGCUGUUGGGUCCCCGUCGUUGCUUUAACGGCGGACCCGAAAGGUAAUGUCAGAGUCCGUGAGACCCUAGACGCAGCGAGCUUCUAGCACGCGUCUGGACGUUUUUCGGGCUCGGUCUUAACUAGAUGAUAACUUCCGAUUGACCUCAGAUCAGGUAGGGAUACCCGCUGAACUUAAGCAUAUCAAUAAGCGGAGGA